GCGGGUGUGCCCGUGGCCUAUUUUUGGCACACGGAGGCCGCCCGCAAAGUCUGGGGCCAUUCCGAGUCCGGCGGACGAACUUCGCCCACGCCCCGCACCAAGGCUAUAGCCCACCCGUUUUUUGGCCAUUUUUCCGCUGGGGGGUCUUGGCGCCCCGACCUUCGGGGGCUGAAUUUUGGGCGCGGGUGUGCCCGUGGCCUAUUUUUGGCACACGGAGGCCGCCCGCAAAGUCUGGGGCCAUUCCGAGUCCGGCGGACGAACUUCGCCCACGCCCCCCACCAAGGCUAUAGCCCACCCGUUUUUUGGCCAUUUUUCCGCUGGGGGGUCUUGGCGCCCCGACCUUCGGGGGCUGAUUUUUGGGCGCGGCUGUGCCCGUGGCCUAUUUUUGGCACACGGAGGCCGCCCGCAAAGUCUGGGGCCAUUCCGAGUCCGGCGGACGAACUUCGCCCACCACCCCCACCAAGGCUAUAGCCCACCCGUUUUUUGGCCAUUUAUCCGCUGGGGGGUCUUGGCGCCCCGACCUUCGGGGGCUGAAUUUUGGGCGCGGGUGUGCCCGUGGCCUAUUUUUGGCACACGGAGGCCGCCCGCAAAGUCUGGGGCCAUUCCGAGUCCGGCGGACGAACUUCGCCCACGCCCCCCACCAAGGCUAUAGCCCACCCGUUUUUUGGCCAUUUUUCCGCUGGGGGGUCUUGGCGCCCCGACCUUCGGGGGCUGAUUUUUGGGCGCGGGUGUGCCCGUGGCCUAUUUUUGGCACACGGAGGCCGCCCGCAAAGUCUGGGGCCAUUCCGAGUCCGGCGGACGAACUUCGCCCACGCCCCCCACCAAGGCUAUAGCCCACCCGUUUUUUGGCCAUUUUUCCGCUGGGGGGUCUUGGCUCCCCGACCUUCGGGGGCUGAUUUUUGGGCGCGGGUGUGCCCGUGGCCUAUUUUUGGCACACGGAGGCCGCCCGCAAAGUCUGGGGCCAUUCCGAGUCCGGCGGACGAACUUCGCCCACGCCCCCCACCAAGGCUAUAGCCCACCCGUUUUUUGGCCAUUUUUCCGCUGGGGGGUCUUGGCGCCCCGACCUUCGGGGGCUGAAUUUUGGGCGCGGGUGUGCCCGUGGCCUAUUUUUUGCACACGGAGGCCGCCCGCAAAGUCUGGGGCCAUUCCGAGUCCGGCGGACGAACUUCGCCCACGCCCCCCACCAAGGCUAUAGCCCACCCGUUUUUUGGCCAUUUUUCCGCUGGGGGGUCUUGGCGCCCCGACCUUCGGGGGCUGAAUUUUGGGCGCGGGUGUGCCCGUGGCCUAUUUUUGGCACACGGAGGCCGCCCGCAAAGUCUGGGGCCAUUCCGAGUCCGGCGGACGAACUUCGCCCACGCCCCCCACCAAGGCUAUAGCCCACCCGUUUUUUGGCCAUUUUUCCGCUGGGGGGUCUUGGCGCCCCGACCUUCAGGGGCUGAUUUUUGGGCGCGGGUGUGCCCGUGGCCUAUUUUUGGCAAACGGAGGCCGCCCGCAGAGUCUGGGGCCAUUCCGAGUCCGGCGGACGAGCUUCGCCCACGCCCCCCACCAAGGCUAUAGCCCACCCGUUUUUUGGCCAUUUUUCCGCUGGGGGGUCUUGGCGCCCCGACCUUCGGGGGCUGAUUUUUGGGCGCGGGUGUGCCCGUGGCCUAUUUUUGGCACACGGAGGCCGCCCGCAAAGUCUGGGGCCAUUCCGAGUCCGGCGGACGAACUUCGCCCACGCCCCCCACCAAGGCUAUAGCCCACCCGUUUUUUGGCCAUUUUUCCGCUGGGGGGUCUUGGCGCCCCGACCUUCGGGGGCUGAUUUUUGGGCGCGGGUGUGCCCGUGGCCUAUUUUUGGCAUACGGAGGCCGCCCGCAAAGUCUGGGGCCAUUCCGAGUCCGGCGGACGAACUUCGCCCACGCCCCCCACCAAGGCUAUAGCCCACCCGUUUUUUGGCCAUUUUUCCGCUGGGGGGUCUUGGCUCCCCGACCUUCGGGGGCUGAUUUUUGGGCGCGGGUGUGCCCGUGGCCUAUUUUUGGCACACGGAGGCCGCCCGCAAAGUCUGGGGCCAUUCCGAGUCCGGCGGACGAACUUCGCCCACGCCCCCCACCAAGGCUAUAGCCCACCCGUUUUUUGGCCAUUUUUCCGCUGGGGGGUCUUGGCGCCCCGACCUUCGGGGGCUGAAUUUUGGGCGCGGGUGUGCCCGUGGCCUAUUUUUGGCACACGGAGGCCGCCCGCAAAGUCUGGGGCCAUUCCGAGUCCGGCGGACGAACUUCGCCCACGCCCCCCACCAAGGCUAUAGCCCACCCGUUUUUUGGCCAUUUUUCCGCUGGGGGGACUUGGCUCCCCGACCUUCGGGGGCUGAUUUUUGGGCGCGGGUGUGCCCGUGGCCUAUUUUUGGCACACGGAGGCCGCCCGCAAAGUCUGGGGCCAUUCCGAGUCCGGCGGACGAACUUCGCCCACGCCCCCCACCAAGGCUAUAGCCCACCCGUUUUUUGGCCAUUUUUCCGCUGGGGGGUCUUGGCGCCCCGACCUUCGGGGGCUGAAUUUUGGGCGCGGGUGUGCCCGUGGCCUAUUUUUGGCACACGGAGGCCGCCCGCAAAGUCUGGGGCCAUUCCGAGUCCGGCGGACGAACUUCGCCCACGCCCCCCACCAAGGCUAUAGCCCACCCGUUUUUUGGCCAUUUUUCCGCUGGGGGGUCUUGGCGCCCCGACCUUCGGGGGCUGAAUUUUGGGCGCGGGUGUGCCCGUGGCCUAUUUUUGGCACACGGAGGCCGCCCGCAAAGUCUGGGGCCAUUCCGAGUCCGGCGGACGAACUUCGCCCACGCCCCCCACCAAGGCUAUAGCCCACCCGUUUUUUGGCCAUUUUUCCGCUGGGGGGUCUUGGCGCCCCGACCUUCGGGGGCUGAAUUUUGGGCGCGGGUGUGUCCGUGGCCUAUUUUUGGCACACGGAGGCCGCCCGCAAAGUCUGGGGCCAUUCCGAGUCCGGCGGACGAACUUCGCCCACGCCCCCCACCAAGGCUAUAGCCCACCCGUUUUUUGGCCAUUUUUCCGCUGGGGGGUCUUGGCGCCCCGACCUUCGGGGGCUGAAUUUUGGGCGCGGGUGUGCCCGUGGCCUAUUUUUGGCACACGGAGGCCGCCCGCAAAGUCUGGGGCCAUUCCGAGUCCGGCGGACGAGCUUCGCCCACACCCCCCACCAAGGCUAUAGCCCACCCGUUUUUUGGCCAUUUUUCCGCUGGGGGGUCUUGGCGCCCCGACCUUCGGGGGCUGAAUUUUGGGCGCGGGUGUGCCCGUGGCCUAUUUUUGGCACACGGAGGCCGCCCGCAAAGUCUGGGGCCAUUCCGAGUCCGGCGGACGAACUUCGCCCACGCCCCCCACCAAGGCUAUAGCCCACCCGUUUUUUGGCCAUUUUUCCGCUGGGGGGUCUUGGCGCCCCGACCUUCGGGGGCUGAUUUUUGGGCGCGGGUGUGCCCGUGGCCUAUUUUUGGCACACGGAGGCCGCCCGCAAAGUCUGGGGCCAUUCCGAGUCCGGCGGACGAACUUCGCCCACGCCCCCCACCAAGGCUAUAGCCCACCCGUUUUUUGGCCAUUUUUCCGCUGGGGGGUCUUGGCGCCCCGACCUUCGGGGGCUGAAUUUUGGGCGCGGGUGUGCCCGUGGCCUAUUUUUGGCACACGGAGGCCGCCCGCAAAGUCUGGGGCCAUUCCGAGUCCGGCGGACGAACUUCGCCCACGCCCCCCACCAAGGCUAUAGCCCACCCGUUUUUUGGCCAUUUUUCCGCUGGGGGGUCUUGGCGCCCCGACCUUCGGGGGCUGAAUUUUGGGCGCGGGUGUGCCCGUGGCCUAUUUUUGGCACACGGAGGCCGCCCGCAAAGUCUGGGGCCAUUCCGAGUCCGGCGGACGAACUUCGCCCACGCCCACCACCAAGGCUAUAGCCCACCCGUUUUUUGGCCAUUUUUCCGCUGGGGGGUCUUGGCGCCCCGACCUUCGGGGGCUGAAUUUUGGGCGCGGGUGUGCCCGUGGCCUAUUUUUGGCACACGGAGGCCGCCCGCAAAGUCUGGGGCCAUUCCGAGUCCGGCGGACGAGCUUCGCCCACGCCCCCCACCAAGGCUAUAGCCCACCCGUUUUUUGGCCAUUUUUCCGCUGGGGGGUCUUGGCGCCCCGACCUUCGGGGGCUUAAUUUUGGGCGCGGGUGUGCCCGUGGCCUAUUUUUGGCACACGGAGGGCGCCCGCAAAGUCUGGGGCCAUUCCGAGUCCGGCGGACGAACUUCGCCCACGUCCCCCACCAAGGCUAUAGCCCACCCAUUUUUUGGCCAUUUUUCCGCUGGGGGGUCUUGGCGCCCCGACCUUCGGGGGCUGAUUUUUGGGCGCGGGUGUGCCCGUGGCCUAUUUUUGGCACACGGAGGCCGCCCGCAAAGUCUGGGGCCAUUCCGAGUCCGGCGGACGAACUUCGCCCACGCCCCCCACCAAGGCUAUAGCCCACCCGUUUUUUGGCCAUUUUUCCGCUGGGGGGUCUUGGCGCCCCGACCUUCGGGGGCUGAUUUUUGGGCGCGGGUGUGCCCGUGGCCUAUUUUUGGCACACGGAGGCCGCCCGCAAAGUCUGGGGCCAUUCCGAGUCCGGCGGACGAACUUCGCCCACGCCCCCCACCAAGGCUAUAGCCCACCCGUUUUUUGGCCAUUUUUCCGCUGGGGGGUCUUGGCGCCCCGACCUUCGGGGGCUGAUUUUUGGGCGCGGGUGUGCCCGUGGCCUAUUUUUGGCACACGGAGGCCGCCCGCAAAGUCUGGGGCCAUUCCGAGUCCGGCGGACGAGCUACGCCCACGCCCCCCACCAAGGCUAUAGCCCACCCAUUUUUUGGCCAUUUUUCCGCUGGGGGGUCUUUGCGCCCCGACCUUCGGGGGCUGAAUUUUGGGCGCGGGUGUGCCCGUGGCCUAUUUUUGGCACACGGAGGCCGCCCGCAAAGUCUGGGGCCAUUCCGAGUCCGGCGGACGAACUUCGCCCACGCCCCCCACCAAGGCUAUAGCCCACCCGUUUUUUGGCCAUUUUUCCGCUGGGGGGUCUUGGCGCCCCGACCUUCGGGGGCUGAUUUUUGGGCGCGGGUGUGCCCGUGGCCUAUUUCGGGCACACGGAGGCCGCCCGCAAAGUCGGGGGCCAUUUCGAGUCCGGCGGACGAACUUCGCCCACGCCCCCCACCAAGGCUAUAGCCCACCCGUUUUUUGGCCAUUUUUCCGCUGGGGGGUCUUGGCGCCCCGACCUUCGGGGGCUGAAUUUUGGGCGCGGGUGUGCCCGUGGCCUAUUUUUGGCACACGGAGGCCGCCCGCAAAGUCUGGGGCCAUUCCGAGUCCGGCGGACGAACUUCGCCCACGCCCCCCACCAAGGCUAUAGCCCACCCGUUUUUUGGCCAUUUUUCCGCUGGGGGGUUUUGGCACCACGACCUUCGCGCGCUUAUUUCUGGGCGCGGCUUUGCCCGCGGCUUAUUUUUGGCACCCCGAGGCCCCUCGCAAAGUCUCGCCCCAUUCCGAGUCCGGCGGACGAACUUCGCCCGCGCCCCCCACCAAGGCUAUAGCCCACCCGUUUUUUGGCCAUUUUUCCGCUGGGGGGUUUUGGCACCACGACCUUCGCGCGCUUAUUUCUGGGCGCGGCUUUGCCCGCGGCUUAUUUUUGGCACCCCGAGGCCCCUCGCAAAGUCUCGCCGCAUUCCGAGUCCGGCGGACGAACGUCGCCCGCGCCCCCCACCAAGUCUAUAGCCCACCCGUUUUUUGGCCAUUUUUCCGCUCGGGGGUUUUGGCACCACGACCUUCGGGCGCUUAUUUUUGGGCGCGGCUUUGCCCGCGGCUUAUUUUUGGCACCCCGAGGCCCCUCGCAAAGUCUCGCCCCAUUCCGAGUCCGGCGGACGAACUUCGCCCGCGCCCCCCACCAAGGCUAUAGCCCACCCGUUUUUUGGCCAUUUUUCCGCUGGGGGGUCUUGGCGCCCCGACCUUCGGGGGCUGAUUUUUGGGCGCGGGUGUGCCCGUGGCCUAUUUUUGGCACACGGAGGCCGCCCGCAAAGUCUGGGGCCAUUCCGAGUCCGGCGGACGAACUUCGCCCACGCCCCCCACCAAGGCUAUAGCCCACCCGUUUUUUGGCCAUUUUUCCGCUGGGGGGUCUUGGCGCCCCGACCUUCGGGGGCUGAAUUUUGGGCGCGGGUGUGCCCGUGGCCUAUUUUUGGCACACGGAGGCCGCCCGCAAAGUCUGGGGCCAUUCCGAGUCCGGCGGACGAACUUCGCCCACGCCCCCCACCAAGGCUAUAGCCCACCCGUUUUUUGGCCAUUUUUCCGCUGGGGGGUCUUGGCGCCCCGACCUUCGGGGGCUGAAUUUUGGGCGCGGGUGUGCCCGUGGCCUAUUUUUGGCACACGGAGGCCGCCCGCAAAGUCUGGGGCCAUUCCGAGUCCGGCGGACGAACUUCGCCCACGCCCCCCACCAAGGCUAUAGCCCACCCGUUUUUUGGCCAUUUUUCCGCUGGGGGGUCUUGGCGCCCCGACCUUCGGGGGCUGAAUUUUGGGCGCGGGUGUGCCCGUGGCCUAUUUUUGGCACACGGAGGCCGCCCGCAAAGUCUGGGGCCAUUCCGAGUCCGGCGGACGAACUUCGCCCACGCCCCCCACCAAGGCUAUAGCCCACCCGUUUUUUGGCCAUUUUUCCGCUGGGGGGUCUUGGCGCCCCGACCUUCGGGGGCUGAUUUUUGGGCGCGGGUGUGCCCGUGGCCUAUUUUUGGCACACGGAGGCCGCCCGCAAAGUCUGGGGCCAUUCCGAGUCCGGCGGACGAACUUCGCCCACGCCCCCCACCAAGGCUAUAGCCCACCCGUUUUUUGGCCAUUUUUCCGCUGGGGGGUCUUGGCGCCCCGACCUUCGGGGACUGAUUUUUGGGCGCGGCUGUGCCCGUGGCCUAUUUUUGGCACACGGAGGCCGCCCGCAAAGUCUGGGGCCAUUCCGAGUCCGGCGGACGAACUUCGCCCACGCCCCCCACCAAGGCUAUAGCCCACCCGUUUUUUGGCCAUUUUUCCGCUGGGGGGUCUUGGCGCCCCGACCUUCGGGGGCUGAAUUUUGGGCGCGGGUGUGCCCGUGGCCUAUUUUUGGCACACGGAGGCCGCCCGCAAAGUCUGGGGCCAUUCCGAGUCCGGCGGACGAACUUCGCCCACGCCCCCCACCAAGGCUAUAGCCCACCCGUUUUUUGGCCAUUUUUCCGCUGGGGGGUCUUGGCGCCCCGACCUUCGGGGGCUGAAUUUUGGGCGCGGGUGUGCCCGUGGCCUAUUUUUGGCACACGGAGGCCGCCCGCAAAGUCUGGGGCCAUUCCGAGUCCGGCGGACGAACUUCGCCCACGCCCCCCACCAAGGCUAUAGCCCACCCGUUUUUUGGCCAUUUUUCCGCUGGGGGGUCUUGGCGCCCCGACCUUCGGGGGCUGAUUUUUGGGCGCGGGUGUGCCCGUGGCCUAUUUUUGGCACACGGAGGCCGCCCGCAAAGUCUGGGGCCAUUGCGAGUCCGGCGGACGAACUUCGCCCACCACCCCCACCAAGGCUAUAGCCCACCCGUUUUUUGGCCAUUUUUCCGCUGGGGGGUCUUGGCGCCCCGACCUUCGGGGGCUGAAUUUUGGGCGCGGGUGUGCCCGUGGCCUAUUUUUGGCACACGGAGGCCGCCCGCAAAGUCUGGGGCCAUUCCGAGUCCGGCGGACGAACUUCGCCCACGCCCCCCACCAAGGCUAUAGCCCACCCGUUUUUUGGCCAUUUUUCCGCUGGGGGGUCUUGGCGCCACGACCUUCGGGGGCUUAAUUUUGGGCGCGGGUGUUCCCGUGGCCUAUUUUUGGCACACGGAGGCCGCCCGCAAAGUCUGGGCCAUUCCGAGUCCGGCGGACGAACUUCGCCCACGCCCCCCACCAAGGCUAUAGCCGACCCGUUUUUUGGCCAUUUUUCCGCUGGGGGGUCUUGGCGCCCCGACCUUCGGGGGCUGAAUUUUGGGCGCGGGUGUGCCCGUGGCCUAUUUUUGGCACACGGAGGCCGCCCGCAAAGUCUGGGGCCAUUCCGAGUCCGGCGGACGAACUUCACCCACGCCCCCCACCAAGGCUAUAGGCCACCCGUUUUUUGGACAUUUUUCCGCUGGGGGGUCUUGGCGCCCCGACCUUCGGGGGCUGAAUUUGGGGCGCGGGUGUGCCCGUGGCCUAUUUUUGGCACACGGAGGCCGCCCGCAAAGUCUGGGGCCAUUCCGAGUCCGGCGGACGAACUUCGCCCACGCCCCCC
rnacentral:lncRNA from 1 species